rnacentral:lncRNA from 1 species
UAAAACUGUAGGAAACAGAUAAACAGAAUAAGGAAAAGGAGAAAUAAAAAGAAACCAAUAGACCUAAACCUACAUGACCACUUGGACAAACAAGCAGAAAGGAAAAGGCUCAGCCCAUCACCACUUCCAUCCUCAACCUCCUGUUCACAGGGGGGGCUGGACGCGCGUGCGGCGUCCAUACCGUGGAUGGCCACACGGCGACUAUCCGGCGAUGCCCCUGCGAGGAUAAAGCCACCCCGACCCCCCUCUGAACCCUAGGUCGACCUUUCCCCCCCUCCGUCACUCUUCUCCUUCGACUUCUUCGUCGCCCGAAGAAACCAUCGUCGUGAUGUCGUCGUCUUCGCGGCCAGGAGCUUCUCCGAGCCACGAUUGGGUGUCCAGGAGGUGCGCUGCAUCCAUCUACGUCGACUACAAGGAGCGAUUCAACUGGAAUCGCACUGCGCCCAUGCAUCGGCCGAUCUCCUUCGUCUACGGCCGCCGCACCUCGCCGCUCGAUCCGCCCGUCUUCGACCACCUCCGGCCUCCCCGACCUCGCCUUCGUGUUCAUUGUGAGCUCCUCCUCCAUUCCCCACUAAUUUCCGCCUCGAUUCGUCGGCGUAGCCAUCUUCCGCUUCCUUCCGUGGCCGCGCUCGGAGCUCUGCUCCCCCGUGCGCCUGCUCACGCUCGUGCUCACCUUGCACCGGCCGCGCCUCGCAGGCCUCCUGAUGGCGCCACAGUCGCGCCCCCUGCGCGUGCCCGGCGGCCUGUGCGUGUCCGCGUCCCCGCUGCUGCUCCUGUCGGCGCGCUGGUGCGCCAUGGCCUUACCCCGCUGCUGUGGCUGCUUGCUGCUGCGUAGUGCCGUUGCUUGCUGCUGUUCUUGCCGCUGCUCUUGCUGCUGCCCUCGUACUGCUCCUGCCGCUAGGUGCCCUUGCUGCUCGAGUUGUGCUGCUGCCACCAGGUGCCGCCGCUGCCUGCUGCUGCUGCUGGCCACGGCCAUGGCCGUUUGCGUCAGUGUGUGUGCGUGCGGUGUGUGUAGUUGUGUGUGUGUGUGAGCGCGUUGUGUGUGUGCGUAUGUGUGUGGAUGAGGCCGAUCCUAGUUAAGUAGGUUAGCUAAUUAGUAGUUAGGCUAAGUAGUGGUUAGGUAUAGGGUAAAUAACAUAUGGGACCAUCCUGGUUAAUUACCAUUUUAUUAGACGAAAGACAAUGACACAUGGGACCCACUUACACUAUUCAUGUGUUGGCCAGUCAACCUUUGACCGGGUCAACCCAACCCCAUUGGCCCCAUUGUCAUAAUCACAUGCUAGGGUAGCACUAGGUGACAAAAAUAUUUUCUGCUUUUAAUUCGAAUUAAAACAAUUUAAAAAAGAUAAAACUUUGAAAAUUAAUAUAAAAUAAACCGUAGCUCGGAUAGAAAAACUUUGUACAUGAAAGUUGCUCGUAACGACGAGACGAAUUCGAAUACACAACCCGUUCGUCCGCCACACAUCCCUAGCAUAUCGAACACGCAACUUUUCCCCUCCAAUUCAUCUGUCCGAAAACGCGAAACACCUGGAAUACUUUCCCGAAUGUUUCCCCCCUUCGUCGGUAUCACCUACUACCGCGUUAGGGCACACCUAGCACCGCGUAUUGCCAUGUUACGCUUUGUGAUGCUUUGAUUGCUUUGUUAUUUAUUGUGUUCCCCCUCCGCUACUUCUUUCCGGUAGACCCCGAGACUGCCAACGACCCCAGUUCGACUACACCGAAGAUGACCCCUCCUUCCCGGCUGAGCUUCCAGGCAAGCCCCCCCUUGAUCACCAGAUAUCGCCUAUUCUCCUCUAUACUGCUUGCAAUAGAGUAGUGUAGCAUGUUACUGCUUUCCGUUAAUCCUAUUCUGAUGCAUAGCCUGACAUUGUUGCUACAUUUGUUAAUACCUUACCUGCAAUCCUAAAUACUUAGUAUAGGAUGCUAGUUUAUCAUCUGUGGCCCUACAUUCUUGUCGGUCUGCCUUGCUAUACUAUCGGGCCGUGAUCACUUGGGAGGUGAUCACGGGUAUAUACUAUACAUAUAUACAUACUACAAAUGGGGACUAAAGUCGGGUCAGCUCGUUGAGUACCCGCAAGUGAUUCCGAUGUGGGGGCUGGAAGGACAGGUGGCUCCAUCCCGGUAGAGGUGGGCCUGGGCUCCCGACGGCCCCUGACUGUUACUUUGUGGCGGAGCGACAGGGCACGUUGAGACCACCUAGGCGAGAGGUGGGCCUGGCCCUGUUCGGCAGCCGCGGUUACUUCAUAAUAACACGCUUAACGAGAUCUUGGUAUUGGAUCUAAGUCUGGCCACUGGCCUAUACGCACUAACCAACUACACGGGAAACAUAUGGGCACUCGACGUCCUAGUAUCAGCCGAAGCCUUCGUGACGUCAGCGACUGAGCAGCGUGCGCCGGGUUGGACUGCGUUAACGCAACUUCCUUUAUAAUGGAGGUUGCUAGGUCUGCUUCCGGCCGUGUACGCAACGUGCAGGUGUGCAAUGGGCGAUGGGCCCAGACCCCUGCGCGCAUAGGAUUUAGACCGGCGUGCUGACCUCUCUGUUGUGCCUAGGUGGGGCUGCGACGUGUUGAUCUUCCGAGGCCGGGCAUGACCUAGGAAAGUGUGUCCGGCCAAAUGGGAUCGAGCGUGUUGGGUUAUGUGGUGCACCCCUGCAAGGAAGUUUAUCUAUUCGAAUAGCCGUGUCCCUCGGUAAAAGGACGACCCGGAGUUGUACCUUGACCUUAUGACAACUAGAACCGGAUACUUAAUAAAACACACCCAGAGAAGUUCCACAGACAACCCGGUGAUCGCUUUUCCAUAGGGCGACGAGGGGAGGAUCGCCGGGUAGGAUUAUGCUAUGCUAUGCUACUUGGAGGACUUCAAUCUACUCUCUUCUACAUGCUGCAAGACGGAGGCUGCCAGAAGCGUAGUCUUCGACAGGAUUAGCUAUCCCCCUCUUAUUCUGGCAUUCUGCAGUUCAGUCCACUGAUAUGGCCCUUUACACAUAUACCCAUGCAUAUGUAGUGUAGAUCCUUGCUUGCGAGUACUUUGGAUGAGUACUCACGGUUGCUUUGCUCCCUCCUUUUCCCCUGUAUCCUCUUCUUCUCGGAUGCUGCAACCAGACGUUGAAGCCCAGGAUCCAGACGCCACCGUCGACGACGACUACUACACUUGAGGAGCCUACUACUACGUGCAGGCCACUGACGACGACCAGGAGUAGUUAGGUGGAUCCCAGGCAGGAGGCAUGCGCCUCUUUCGAUCUGUAUCCCAGUUUGUGCUAGCCAUCUUAUGGCAACUUGUUAACUUAUGUCUGUACUCAGAUAUUGUUGCUUCCGCUGACUCGUUUAUGUACGAGCACUUGUAUUCGAGCCCUCGAGGCCCCUGGCUUGUAAUAUGAUGCUUGUAUGACUUAUUUUACUUUUAGAGUUGUGUUGUGAUAUCUUCCCGUGAGUCCCUGAUCUUGAUCGUACACAUUUGCGUGCAUGAUUAGUGUAUGAUUGAAUCGGGGGCGUCACAAGUUGGUAUCAGAGCCGACUGCCUGUAGGAAUCCCCCUUUCCAGCUCCUUGGCUGAAGUUGAGUCUAGUCGAUGAAAAUUGUUUUACUAACUUGGCUGUGCGGCCCAUGGGCCCACGUCGCCAAUUGGGUGGUAUUAGGAUCUUUUAUUCCUCGACCUAUACUCUGGGACUCUAAUCUCUCCUCUAUUCGGGUUAAAUGAUUCUAAAUCUGACUCUAGGUUCUCGUAACUACUUUCUCCCGGAGAGCCCCUAAUCACAUAUGAUCACCUACUGCGUCAGAAGAUUUCGAAGGUACUCUAGGAUGUUCUCCCGAGAUGCUUGUGCCCACCGCCUUUGCAAAUUCCCUACCACUGUUAUAUCCUUAUGGAUAACUGCAUGCACCUGCCAUUCUUACAUUCGAUCCCAUUGAGCUUGUUAUUACAAGGUGCAAUGAACUGCUCUUCGUUGUUCCAAGAAUCCUUUGAGCUUACUGCCUUACGGCUCUUUGCCACAAGAAUACCCAUAUGGAUAAUUCCUUGCACUUAUCGAGUAUCCGCUCCUUCUUAGUUGUUCAGGUGUUUCACAUAAGCCUUCGAACUAUUAUUUGAUCUUUCAAAAAUCCUCAACAGCCUAUUGUUCUUGAAAUUCUUGCUUGUUUGCAUUUUGGUUAAUCCCAUAAGCAUAAUAAUCUUAUUGGCAUCCUUUGUCACUAUCAUUUUUGAGUCCAUUAAUUCAAUAAGUUGUGAAUGUUCACAAUCAUCAGUCGAAUCCUAAGAUUAUCCUUCCGGCUCAAAUGACAUUUGGAUAUGAGCUGGUUCUUGACCAACAAAUGCCUUGAUCGGUUGUGCUUCUAAGCCUAUCGAACUUAUUCAUUUUCAAUCAGAACGAUUGCUUCUGAUCCCUUAAUUUGGAAAUAAUAAAAUUCUUUGCAUUAAGCUUUGAAUUAGUCAGUUGUUUCUACAAUCUGAUGCCUUGGCAUUCCUUCUUCCUCUGAUUGAGUACCGAUACUCACAUCAGCCCCGUUGUGGACCGCCAUACCCAUUACCGGGUUAUUAUCCGACAGUCUCCUUCACAACCAAAAUUCUUAUGAGUUCCUUACUCGAUACAUAAUACCUUUGGUAAAUUGUAUCCUCUACUUUUGUCAACCAUGCUCUACUUUUGAGCUUGUGUUAUUUACUCCCGAAGUUCAUGGUAUAUGUUCUAAGAAGCCCCGAUGGGUUGAACCUAUGCCUUCCUUAAUCUGUGUGAACUCGUAAGUUUUCACGGGUCAUACUCCUCUGGUAAUUCACCAGGUAGGUUUUGACACUGAAAUCAUUUUUAUCUAGAGCAGUGAAUGAAAGGUUAUGCAUUGAAGAAGUGGGAGUCGACCUUGAACUUUGUGUUCAUGCCCAUGAACAUGAUGUAGAUCCUAUCAUGGAAGCUACUCUUAAAUUAAUUAUUCCCUGGGUAUAAGUUCAUCUUAUAUCUGGGAUAUAGUCUUUUGCAAUCUUUGUUCCGGCCAUAUUGAUAUUCUUUGAUUCCUUUUCUCGGACAAGUUGAAGUACUUGUCUUCUGCAGAUCAUUACACCUAUCCAACCUCUAUUCUGCUCUACCUUUGAGUAUACCCUCUGGUAUCUCGAGAAUAUCACGGAACAACAUAACUUCUUAUGAGUUCUUCUUCAAGUAUUAUUUCACAUCGAUUUCAAUUUCGCCUGGGUUCUGAGUUGUUAGACACUCAAGGACACCGAUAAGUGAAUCAAUUCCGCACUCCGAUUCAAUAACUCUAAGUAAUCUUCGUUGCUUAUGAGCUUAUUAAUCCUUCAAGUCAUUCAUAGCCUGAUCGGCUAUAUCAAUAUCGUGCAACUUUUAAUUUUGCUACCUGGUCCUUCUUCUCGAAGCACAAUUUUCGACGAUGAGCUAAGCUUACGUCAACUUUCCUCGUCAUAUCAUUUUGCCUUGAAUAACAAGCUUGAUUCCGAGUGUCUGUCGUACCCGUGGUUUCAAUAACUUUUCGCUCCAUCCUUCCUUUUGCUUGAUGUCGUCGAUGAGCGAUAAUAUCUUAAUGAAACCUCUCAAUAAAUGUGCCAUGAUCAUCAUCAACAUUCUGAGCUCUUCAAGGAUAUUGAUCGAAUUCAUGUUGAGAAAUACCAUCCUUGCCCCUCGAUGAUUUGUGUUAUCAUCGACAACAUCCUUGUCUUCCCUCGACACAAAUGUGUUCUUGUUUGGGAUUGGAUCUUGAGUUCCUUGCUAUCCAGCAUUUGUUCUUCUUUACCUUGGAGUAUUACCAUCUUUUAUGUCAAGAAUGUCAUGAGGAUUACUCCACCUCUUAAGAAUUCUUGGUAUAGUGAUACUUCUCACCAUCACCAUUCUUUCUUGGUUCCCGUGUUGAUUCUAACCGGGGUACCAACAAGUGAACGGUGCUGUUUGGAUUCUGUACUUCUGGCAACCCUAAUGCUUUGAAGUUAAUGAUCGAUAGUUCAUUCUUAGACCAAUGGUUAUCGAAUUACCAUUCUAACCUUGAUCGUGCUAUCGAGCCCAUAUUUCGGGUGCAACUUUCAACCGAUGUUUAAAUAUGUAUGUUUUGCUCGAGCAUAAAUCAUUAUAUCAUUUGAUCUAACAAAUGAUAUCUCCUUGUUCACAUAAUUGUGGAAGUACAUCUUUUGGGAAUCUCGAUGAGUUGUCGCUGAGUCCAUCAGCCACCUCCUUAUCCUCUCCUUAGUUUAAUGAUGAACUCUCGUUUCGGAACUCACUCCCAUAGUUCAUUCCCCGAGUCUGAGAUAUCCUGACACCAAUCAGAUCUGAAUCUCGGUUAGGUAUGAUGAUUGGAACAUAUUUCCAAGAGUUAUAACAAUGGUCUUUAUGUGACCCGGUAAGGUGUUGUCGUGCCUAGCACACCUGGCCGGAGGCCUAUUGUUAUAGAUUCCUUUUCAGCAAGGUUAUCCAUUCUUCCAUGAGGAAACUGUAAGACUUAUUCUAUUAGUUUAUCCUGAUGGAUCCUUUGUGUAUCCAAAGUCUGACCUUUGCUUGAAGACCUUGUCAAUGCUAUCUCGAAGCAUGUCUGUGGUGCUCCGAUUUUCAAAAAGAACAUUUGAAGCCCAAUGCUAAAUAUUACUUGCUCAAUUAUCCAAACACCAUUGCAUUGGUAAUGUCAUGAAAUUUCUCUCCUCUCUCCUAAAGAGUUUUCUACAUUAUAUCCUGCCAAGGUUAUCAUGCUCUGCUUGUCCUUGGGAAGGGUAUACCCCUGAUAUAUGUGUUUAAACACAUUUUUCUUUCCAUUGUUCCAAUUACUCUGAUAAUCAUAUUUUCCUUUCCAUUGUUUGGUUUAACCUUUCUUGUGAGCUAUAUGAUCUAAGCGGUAAUAUUCUCCUGAUUAUGAACACACCUCGGUGUACAAUUCUGUCAGCAAGACGUUGUUGCUAUUGUUGAUGACAUUCCGGUAGCCACCGCUGGACGAGAACUUUGCCUAUUGGUCCGCAUCGUUCAACGAGCAGGAAAAUGGUUCUCUUCGUUCCCUCGCCCUUGGUACCGACGUUGUUGCCGACAUAGCUGGCAGUCUAUUCUCCGACAUGCCUUGCUAUCAUGAUCGAGCAUGAUGUCAUCGCUACUUCUACUUUUAACCCACAUGAUGGGCCCAUAACCCAUAGUUCCACAGGAUCGAAACCUGACUCUCUUAUACACCCCCUGUUGCCAAAGUUAUCCCUUAUGCUUGGCUUCGUAUGUAAUUCACGAGCUAAUUUCCCUGCCAUAUUUCAUUCCGGUAUCGGAUGCAACAUUUUUCUUCAUUGCUCUGAACCCCUUUCACACUCUGUUUCAGGCAACAAACGAUUGCCUGACCGCUUGAAACUUCCCAUGAUACCUCUUUACAUUGCUACCGAUAUUUUCUUAAGUUUCAAUUCGAGAGCUACUUUCCGCCACCUUCCCUGAUGUUAUCGACCAGAUAGUCAACCUUGUAGAGGUCUAUUCUCUCGGAAUACCCACCCCUUUAUUCUUUCGUAAGUACAAUGGAAUUCCCGAAGAAAGAAUGUCGACUUCAUCACGAUGACCUGAAGCAGAGAAAUGAAGACAUCAACGUAAUGGAUCGACCUCUUCGAGAAGAGCAACCAAGACCGAGAAGAUCCGUUAGAAUUUUGCAACCACAACUUUCCCCCUUACUCCACCGCUUAAAUCUCGGGACGAGAUUUCUUGUAGUGAAGGAGAUUUGUAACACCCCGGUAGUUGAGCUACAGUAACCUCACCCUAAUGGGCCAUGUCAUCGUGUUAAAUUAAGCCAAAUUGCCACUUGAUGAAGAUCAGAGUCAAAUUCAAAUUUCGAAAUACAAGACAAACUCUUAUUUCUUCAAACUGUCAAAUAAAAAUGUUCGAUAUGUUCCAAAUAUUCACUAACUAAUUUUCAUGUGGGAAUCAACAUUUAACAGAAUAUUAGAAUGCCCCUAAGCAUUUUAAAACUACUCCAGCAACAAUUAUAUGGGGCUUUCUACUUUAAAAUAAAUAUGAAUGCUUCUCAAAAUAAUUUGAAACUGCUGGUGCUAACUCAAUACCUUGCCUAUUAUUAUUGUGCUGAAUUGCAUACUUAACUAAAAUCAUUUGUUAGCUCAAUUAAAAAUAAAACUGUAGGAAACGGAUAAACAGAAUAAGGAAAAGGAGAAAUAAAAAGAAACCAAUAGACCUAAACCUACAUGACCACUUGGACAAACCAGCAGAAAGGAAAAGGCCCAGCCCAUCACCACUUCCAUCCUCAACCUGUUCACAGGGGGUGUGCUGGACGCGCGUGCGGCGUCCAUACCGUGGAUGGCCACACGGCGACUAUCCGACGAGGCCCCUGCAAGGAUAAAGCCACCCCGACCGCCCUCUGAACCCUAGGUCGACCUUUCCCCCCCUCCGUCACUCUUCUUCUUCGACUUCUUCGUCGCCCGAAGAAACCAUCGUCGUGAUGUCGUCGUCUUCGCGGCCAGGAGCUUCUCCGAGCCACGAUUGGGUGUCCAGGAGGUGCGCUGCAUCCAUCUACGUCGACUACAAGGAGCGAUUCAACUGGAAUCGCAUUGCGCCCAUGCAUCGGCCGAUCUCCUUCGUCUACGGCCGCCGCACCUCGCCGCUUGAUCCGCCCCUCUCCGACCACCUCCGGCCUCCCCGACCUCGCCUUCGUGUUGAUUGUGAGCUCCUCCUCCAUUCCCCACUAAUUUCCGCCUCAAUUCGUUGGUGUAGCCAUCUUCCGCUUCCUUCCGUGGCCGCGCUCGGAGCUCUGCUCCCCCGUGCGCCUGCUCAUGCUCGUGCUCACCCUGCACCGGCCGCGCCUCACAGGCCUCCUGAUGGCGCCACAGCCGUGCCCCCUGCGCGUGCCCGGCGGCCUGUGCGUGUCCGCGUCCCCGCUGCUGCUCCUGUCGGUGCGCUGGUGCGCCAUGGCCUUACCCCGUUGUUGUGGCUGCUUGCUGCUGCGUACUGCCGUUGCUUGCUGCUGUUCUUGCCGCUGCUCUUGCUGCUGCCCUCGUACUGCUCCUGCCGCUAGGUGCCCUUGCUGCUCGAGUUGUGCUGCUGCCACCAGGUGCCGCCGCUGCCUGCUGCUGCUGCUGGCCACGGCCAUGGCCGUGUGCGUCAGUGUGUGUGCGUGCGGUGUGUGUAGUUGUGUGUGUGUGUGAGCGCGUUGUGUGUGUGUGCGUAUGUGUGUGGAUGAGGCCGAUCCUAGUUAAGUAGGUUAGCUAAUUAGUAGUUAGGCUAAGUAGUGGUUAGGUAUAGGGUAAAUGACAUAUGGGACCACCCUGGUUAAUUACCAUUUUAUUAGACGAAAGACAAUGACACAUGGGACCCACUUACACUAUUCAUGUGUUGACCAGUCAACCUUUGACCAGGUCAACCCAACCCCAUUGGCCCCACUGUCAUACUCACACGCUAGGGUAGCACUAGGUGACAAAAGUAUUUUCUGCUUUUAAUUCGAAUUAAAACAAUUUAAAAAAGAUAAAACUUUGAAAAUUAAUAUAAAAUAAACCGUAGCUCGGAUAGAAAAACUUUGUACAUGAAAGUUGCUCGUAACGACGAGACGAAUCCGAAUACGCAACCCGUUUGUUCGCCACACAUCCCUAACAUAUCGAACACGCAACUUUUCCCCUCCAAUUCAUUUGUCCAAAAACGCGAAACACCUGGAAUAUUUUCCCGAAUGUUUCCCCCCUUCGUCGGUAUCACCUACUACCGCGUUAGGGCACACCUAGCAUCGCGUAUUGCCAUGUUACGCUUUGUGAUGCUUUGAUUGCUUUGUUAUUUAUUGUGUUCCCCCUCCGCUACUUCUUUCCGGUAGACCCGGAGACUGCCGGCGACCCCAGUUCGACUACACCGAAGAUGACCCCUCUUUCUCGGCUGAGCUUCCAGGCAAGCCCCCCCUUGAUCACCAGAUAUCGCCUAUUCUCCUCUAUACUGCUUGCAAUAGAGUAGUGUAGCAUGUUACUGCUUUCCGUUAAUCCUAUUCUGAUGCAUAGCCUGACAUUGUUGCUACAUCUGUUGAUACCUUACCUGCAACCUAAAUACUUAGUAUAGGAUGCUAGUUUAUCAUCUGUGGCCCUACAUUCUUGUCGGUCUGUCUUGCUAUACUAUCGGGCCGUGAUCACUUGGGAGGUGAUCACGGGUAUAUACUAUACAUAUAUACAUACUACAGAUGGUGACUAAAGUCGGGUCAGCUCGUUGAGUACCCGCAAGUGAUUCCGAUGUGGGUGCUGGAAGGACAGGUGGCUCCAUCCCGAAAGAGGUGGGCCUGGGCUCCCGACGACCCCCGACUGUUACUUUGUGACGGAGCGACAUGGCACGUUGAGACCACCUAGGCGAGAAGUGGGCCUGGCCCUGGUCGACGUCCGCGGUUACUUCAUAAUAACACGCUUAACGAGAUCUUGGUAUUUGAUCUGAGUCUGGCCACUGGCCUAUACGCACUAACCAACUACGCGGGAAAGAUAUGGGCACUCGGCGUCGUGGUAUCAGCCGAAGCCUUCGUGACGUCAGCGACUGAGCGGCGCGCGCCGGGUUGGACUGCGUUAACGCAACUUUCUUUGUAAUGGAGGUUGCUAGGUCUGCUUCCGGCCGCGCACGCAACAUGCAGGUGUGCAAUGGGCGAUGGGCCCAGACCCCUGCGCGCAUAGGAUUUAGACCGGCGUGCUGACCUCUCUGUUGUGCCUAGGUGGGGCUGCGACGUGUUGAUCUUCCGAGGCCGGGCAUGACCCAGGAAAGUGUGUCCGGCCAAAUGGGAUCGAGCGUGUUGGGUUAUGUGGUGCACCCCUGCAGGGAAGUUUAUCUAUUCAAAUAGCCGUGUCCCUCGGUAAAAGGACGACCCGGAGUUGUACCUUGACCUUGUGACAACUAGAAUCGGAUACUUAAUAAAACACACCCAGACAAGUUCCACAGACAACCCGGUGAUUGCUUUUCCACAGGGCGACGAGGGGAGGAUCGCCGGGUAGGAUUAUGCUAUGCGAUGCAACUUGGAGGACUUCAAUCUACUCUCUUCUACAUGCUGCAAGACGGAGACUGCCAGAAGCGUAGUCUUCGACAGGAUUAGCUAUCCCCCUCUUAUUCUGGCAUUCUGCAGUUCAGUCCACUGAUAUGGCCCUUUACACAUAUACCCAUGCAUAUGUAGUGUAGAUCCUUGCUUGUGAGUACUUUGGAUGAGUACUCACAGUUGCUUUGCUCCCUCCUUUUCCCCUUUAUCCUCUUCUUCUCGGAUGCUGCAACCAGACGUUAGUGCCCAGGAUCCAGACGCCACCGUCGAUGACGACUACUACACUUGAGGAGCCUACUACUAUGUGCAGGCCACUGACGACGACCAGGAGUAGUUAGGUGGAUCCCAGGCAGGAGGCCUGCGCCUCUUUCGAUCUGUAUCCCAGUUUGUGCUAGCCAUCUUAUGGCAACUUGUUAACUUAUGUCUGUACUCAGAUAUUGUUGCUUCCACUGACUCGUUUAUGUACGAGCACUUGUAUUCGAGCCCUCGAGGCCCCUGGCUUGUAAUAUGAUGCUUGUAUGACUUAUUUUACUUUUAGAGUUGUGUUGUG